rnacentral:rRNA from 1 species
GACGGGGGGGGCAAGUGUUCUUCGGAAUGACUGGGCGUAAAGGGCACGUAGGCGGUGAAUCGGGUUGAAAGUGAAAGUCGCCAAAAAGUGGCGGAAUGCUCUCGAAACCAAUUCACUUGAGUGAGACAGAGGAGAGUGGAAUUUCGUGUGUAGGGGUGAAAUGCGUAGAUAUCGUUUGGAACGCCAAUGGUGAAAACAGGUCGCUGGGGUUGUGCUGACGCUGAGACACGAAAGCCAGGGGAGCGAACGGG